rnacentral:rRNA from 1 species
UUUAGUGGCAUGUCCUGGACCCGAAGCGGGGUGAUCUACCCAUGGCCAGUGUGAAGCAGCUGUAAGAGGUUGUGGAGGCGCGAACCCACGUAGGUUGAAAACUGCGGGGAUGAGUUGUGGGUAGGGGUGAAAGGCCAAUCAAACUCCGUGAUAGCUGGUUCUCCCCGAAAUGCAUUUAGGUGCAGCGUUAUAUGUUUAGCUUGCCGGAGGUAGAGCUACUGGUUGGUUGAGCGGGACUAUCAUCUUAGCAACAUCAGCCAAACUCCGAAUGCCGGUGUAAGUGUGUAUAGCAGUGAGACUGUGGGGGAUAAGCUUCAUAGUCGAGAGGGAAACAGCCCAGAUCGCCGGUUAAGGCCCCUAAGGGUGUACUAAGUGGAAAAGGAUGUGGGAUCGCGAAGACAGCCAGGAGGUUGGCUUAGAAGCAGCCAUCCUUGAAAGAGUGCGUAAUAGCUCACUGGUCGAGUGGUUCUGCGCCGACAAUGUAGUGGGGCUCAAGUACACCGCCGAAGCCGCGGCAA